rnacentral:rRNA from 1 species
AUUGAACGCUGGCGGCAUGCUUUACACAUGCAAGUCGAACGGUAACAGGGAGCUUGCUCCGCUGACGAGUGGCGAACGGGUGAGUAAUAUAUCGGAACGUACCCAAGAGUGGGGGAUAACGUAGCGAAAGUUACGCUAAUACCGCAUACGUCCUACGGGAGAAAGCAGGGGAUCUUCGGACCUUGCGUUAAUGGAGCGGCCGAUAUCUGAUUAGCUAGUUGGUGGGGUAAAGGCCCACCAAGGCGACGAUCAGUAGCUGGUCUGAGAGGACGACCAGCCACACUGGAACGGAGACACGGUCCAGACUCCUACGGGAGGCAGCAGUGGGGAAUUUUGGACAAUGGGCGAAAGCCUGAUCCAGCCAUUCCGCGUGAGUGAAGAAGGCCUUCGGGUUGUAAAGCUCUUUCGCAAGGGAAGAAAACUUAUCUAAUAAUACUAGAUGAGGCUGACGGUACCUUGAUAAGAAGCACCGGCUAACAACGUGCCAGCAGCCGCCGUAA